rnacentral:tRNA from 1 species
GUAAUAUUGAAGAUAUUAAGGUAAUAUUUUAUUUCAAAAUAAUAAAAGGAAGUUUAAUUUUACAGUGA